AAAAACGUAUCAAGGUCACACAAGUAUGUAGUGUGCAGUGGAGCACAGAUUCAAACCCAGAUUGAGUCCUGACCCCUAUACUCACCUCUCUUAGACCCAGGGUAGGCUAAACUCUGUAGCAGGUUGAAAAGUUAGCUCUUUCCAGCAUGGGAAGACACAGACUAAGUGAGGCAGAACCAAGUUCUAAGAUAAAAAUUUGGAUACAGAGAACACGAAAUGGAGUUAUAAAAACUCCAAACACUAAAAUAAAGGAAAUGCCUUUUCGAAUGUAAAAUAAAUUUGAGGAGAAACAGAGCCUGUGGCUUUCUUAAUCCUGUUACGGGUAGUAAAGAUAUAAAACUCUAAUCGGUUGGGUAAGCCAAAAACAGAAAUAGGUUCAAGGAGAUCCUGCAGGAAUGUGUUGAUCAGAGAAUAAAGCACUUCCUUUUAUUAUGUGUUGGGAUGAAUAUGAAAUUAUCAAUUUUUUGUUUAAAAACAAAUAUUAAUUCCAUAUGGUUUAACUUAGCUAGAGAAUUGCGCCUGGCUUUUAUGUGUAAAGGAUACAGAAACCAUACGCAGAGUUGAUUGUAAUUCCACUCACUAAGACCGCACACAGGAUGCAAGGAACUAGUACUAAAAUGUUUGGUUUUGGUUUUGUUGAAAUCUCUUCUUAGACUUUUGUAUGUAUACGGGCUGUGGGACUGGUUGGAAAUGUAAUUAUUCAGAUUAAUGUCUCUUUGGUUGUCACAGAACUGGAAAUUGAGUUUUGGUGAUCUUUUUGCUCUAACCAUCUAAUGGAAGUAUGGCAAAACCUCAACCAAGUAGGAAUUCACUUCAAUCAUCCAUCAAAUGAGGACAUGUGUACCUCUCAGUUCUAAAAGUUUACAGAGAGUUAAGGUGAAACAGCUGGCUUUGGCUGCCAGAAUUGUCAAAGUCUGGUCCCAUAUCUUUUCUCCCCUCAAUAUGGUUUUUCAGAACCCUACAAUCAAUUUUAUCAGAUACAGAUAAACCAACUGGGACAGGAGAUUUACAGAUUUAGCAAAUAAAAAUACGAGAUGUCCAGUUAAAUUUGAAUUUCAGAUAAACCUUGAAUCAUAUUUUAGAAUAAGUAUAUCCCCUGAAAUAUUUGGGACAUACUUAUACAAAAAACUGGGUGGUUUAUCUGAAAUUCAAAUGUAGUUUGGGUAUCCUGUAUUUUAUCUGGAAACCUUGCUCUGGCUAAGGUUUCAAGUGAGUCCGUGAAUUCCAUGAAAAUUUCUGGAAUAUUAUGAAACAUGUUACGCCUGUGUGUUUGUGUUUUUCUGUAGAGCGGGCUUAGAGAUUUCAUGAAAUCUUCUGAAAAGGGCCCGUAACCCAAAAUAGACCCAGAACCAUUGGGCUGAGAAUGGUCAGACAAGAAAUAGUCACAAAAUUCUACCGUCUUCAAGGAGUGGGCAAGUCACUGUGAAAGAAUUACACUGUGUCCCGGCCUGAUACAGCUCUCAAAUGAAAAUCUUCUAGAGCUGACUAUAGAAAAGAGUUGUCACUUUAUAUUUAAGAACAUUCUCUUUUCUGCUGCCCUCCACCCUUGCCUCCUGGGAGAGACUCCACAUGGGGCAAGCUGAAAAGCCAUGUGUGCUGAAGUGUCACUGUCACUCUCAUGACAGAAUGAGCUGGGAUCCCAGAAUGUGUCCUUGCCAAAGGGGCGAAUCAGCUGCGCCUUCUCCCUGUCCUGUCACAUUCCUGUGGCUGCAUCUGUCCGAGCUCAUCAGGACUGACUCCUGGAAUAGAAACACUCCAGCCUCUGCUGCUUGCCAUUUUAAGUUAAGUUGGACUUGAGGGGGGGUUUUCCACUUUACUGUUUCAUUUCUAACCUAAAAUGUAUGAUCAGCAUAGCCAUAUGUGUACAUCGGGAACAAAAACUUGUCUUACGGUUCAGUCAACAAUACUUUCUUUUCAUAGGGGGAGUUUCUAUCUUGCCAGUCGAAUAUUUCUGGGAAUUCAAAGAGUUUAUCUGACUUUUGUGCUACCAACUGAGUUGAAACGGACUGUAUUUCAUCUAAAUGGGUCAGGUACUAAAUGUUUACAUGGUUCCUGAUCAAAAUGAAGAGGGAAUUCUAAACCUUGUGAACCAAACCUAAGAAUGUUACUUUGUCUCUCCUUUCUUUAUAAAACAGAGAGGAAGAAAAAAAAUACAUUAGGCUUUAGAGACUUAAAAUUAUUAAUAGAAACGACUAGCAAUUUUACUAUUUAAAGGCAUCCCUCUCAGGCAUUUCUAUCCCUAGGCAUUCUCCUAAUCUAUGGCAUUCCUUACAUUUCAAGAAAAAGUUUUCUGGCUCCCAAUUUCCCAUCGGGCACAGGCACAGAACGGUACCGCCCGCUGUAGACGGCAGUCAGUGAAUUGCUCCCAAGCCGGGAGCACGCGGUCACAGCCACCCUCUCGCACCCACACACCCAUACGCACCCUCGAAUCUAGAAGACAGGAAUUGGAGAGCGUGGCCCCAGCUCCUUACCCUCCUGUGCAAAGUGGCGUCCAGACGUGUGAUGGUAAAGACAACCUUUUUCAAAUCCCCUUGGCCAUGUGACUACAUUCUGGCUAAUGAGAUGGCAGCAGAAGCGGGAUGUGGGAUUUCUAGGAAGUCUCCUUCCUAGGAGGGAAAGAGGGAAAAAACACAUCUUUCAUUUUGAAAAAGAUGUUCUUAUUCAAGAAAUGGUUUGCGGACCCCUGGUCUAGAAAAUAUGCGGGAAGCUCUGAGAAAAGAGGCCAAGAAGACCGAGAGCCUGAAAUGUCUCAGCACUGCCACAGACCUUUGCUCAUUCACUGUUUCAUUUAGUCCCAACAAGUGAGCAGGAUAAGAGGUAUUUCCCCCAUUUUCACAGGGGCAAAAAAUGUUGUUCUCAAGAUGAGAAGUCAAAGUCUACAUGGCUAGUGAAAGUGGGGCUUGAAUUAAAGUCCAAGUCAGUCUGA